UUUUCUCUCUUCGUUAAUCACAUGAAACCCUAGUAACAAUUUCCCAAUUUCUCUUCGAUUUACAUUGUUGACAACACCGUUACGAUAAUACUUCGGUAUGGGGGUUCUGCAGAAUUGGGCUUGUGGAAUUGGGUUUUGCAUUGGUUUUUAUUGACACUAUCACUUUGAUAUGUUUCAUUCCUCGUUUUGCCUUAUAAUUUUGUUUCGCUCACUCAUUUUCUUAAAUUAUUAUCUUUCUUAUUCUGUAUUUUAUACUUGAAUAUAUCUCAUGCAUUCAAAUUCAAUGAGGGAAAUGAGUGAAUGAAAUCAAAUUAAGAAGGCAGAAACAUAUUUCUGUCAGAAAAUCCUUCCAGCAGAAUUUGUUGCGAUGGUGAGAUAUUCCGUUUAUUUUGGCCAAUUUUUUGUUAUUCUUUCUUCAAUAACGCAAUGUGAUUUAAAUCUUCAGAAACUUUGGGGAUUGACUGACAUGAAGACAAAUUGGCAGUGGGAUAAUGAUGCCCACACUGAAUUGAAUGUACACACAAACUCUAACUUUUUACUCAUAGAACAUGAGUAUGUCCAAACAGACAUUGAAGUUAGAGAUUGUAUAACUUGUUUGUAGGAGAAGGUGAAAGAAUUUACUGCUGAGCAAGUUCAAGAAUUGGAAGAGGGUACUGAUAUAUGGACCCUAUAUUAAUGGUGCCUUUGUAAAAAUUGGUGGAAAAUGAUUAAGAAUUGCUCUGGUCAAUGGUUGGGAGUUAAGCCAACAAGUAGAGAUUCAUGCACUGAAUUCACGAGUAACUAUUUAUUACACACUAACAAAAGGAGGUAGAAGAAGAAUUGCCUCUCUACCUUCUCCGGGGUAGAGAUAAGGUGUGCGUACACUUUACCCUCCUCAAACCUCAUUGAGUGAGAUUAUACUGAAUUGUUGCUGUUUUUGUUGUGUAGGUAGAAGAAGAAUGUCAUCUACAGGGGAGAGUGUGGAACCCUAACUUAUAGAAGUACAAAUUAACUUGUGGAGUAGUGGCAAAAUGGAGAAAUCAUGAAAGCUCGUCUUGAACAUGGGAAGAAAAUGUUAAAAAAGGGCGUCAUGGCACUAUUAUCCCAUAUUCGGAGUUCCAAGGUACUUAUUUAGUAUGAGUUUCAAUUAUUUGCUUUUGCGUCUAAGAACAUUUUGAUUAAACGACAAGAAUAAAAGCAAAUAAUAUGGCUUUGCAUUGCUCUGAAAUGUACUGGAUUCUAAGAAAAGUUGGAACCACUAAGUCCCAGUUUCAGAACAUCAACCAAAGAUCGACUAUGCUCACAUGGCCUUUAUACCAGUAUAGUGAAACCGAUACAUAUCACUGUUUGCUCGUACUUUAGCACUUGACAUAAUCAUUACCUGACAUGGCUUUGGUACCAGCCAUUGCAGGGGGGAAUGCAGCUUCUAUAACCAAUUGUAGAGAUACUAUUGCUUAGUUAUUAUUGUUCUGUGGCCCCAAAACCUUCUAAAAUCCAAACCUUCAUUUCUCCUACCCGUUCACCCCUCUGUUUGGCUCUUCUUCCAAGGGUUGUUGUGUAACAAGCACAUGCAGACAUAGAAUUAGAAUUUUAAUUAAUCUCAUGGGUUCUGAAUUUUAGAAACGAUAACUUCAAGUGCUAAUAGCUGGGCUCUAAAUUUAAUAUUUGUAUAUAUUUAAUGAUUUUCUUUAACGUUAUGCACGGUUUGAGCAAAAACUUCUGGCUUUGGCUGAAAAUUGAUGAGUUAGCACAUUUAUCCACUAGAACACCCAUGAAUAUAUAUUAUCAUCAACUUGAUGAAUUAAUUGUUGUUACGGCUUGGAAUUUUUAUUUUAUAGAAUAAUUCUUAUUGAGAACUCACCACAUAAAAGUUAUACUACUCUGCGUCCUAAAAGUCUAAAGCUAGUUUUCAAAAUUUCCCUCUAUCUGGGCCUCUUCUAUUUAGAAAAAAAAAAACUAAAUAAAAAAAAAAUACUACUCCUUAAAAGUAAGAGAAAAAAACAUAAUCUGUUAUCCUGCUUUGUGGUUUCAGCAGUUUAAUACUCAUUUUGCCUAUAUAUGUUUCAUUUUCUGCUAGAUUAUGUCACUGGAGCUUUCCCGAUUGGCAAUUGCUAAUAUCCUGCCCCGGUUAGAGUAUCGUCAUCUCGGCCUUGAUGUUGAAUAACAUGUGCAUAGCUCAGUUUUCUUUUCUUAUUUCCGGGCACCAUUCCUUGCGCUAAUAAGUCAACAAACACAUAUUACCUACAAGCCUAACUGAUGAACAUAGUUCGUAUGGAAGUGAGUCACACUACCAGAUUAGCACUGUUGAGUUUUCCGUGGAUAAGUUAUUCUAUCCAUGUUCCUACGAGUCAGCCAAGUAACAUAUUGGCACCUGCUAUUUGAUGCAGAAGUGUUUUAUGUUGAAUGUUUCUGGUUGAAAUGGAGAUAGUAAAAUUUUAGUCGAUUUUAUAAGUUAAUUAUUUUGUUGCUUCAUUCGCAUCUUAGCCGCCUUCUAGUUGUAUUUAGGGGGCUCCAUUUUCCUAUGUAACAUAAGUAAUUACUAUGUGUAAUUAUGAUUUAUGUGGUGUGUAACUUGCUGUGGUUUAUUGAUCAGCUUCAAGAAAACAUAGAUUCCACCGGUUUACUAAUCCGGCAUCACAAUCUGCUUAGGGUAAAUUGCUGGUGCUGAUUUAAUCAUUUUCCUGACUUUAAGGUACAGAGAUGCAAAAUUGAAAAUUGUCAAUGUGGAAGAGAUUCUACCUGGCAACCCAACUGUAAAAAGUUAAGGGGGUGGCGAUGUCUUUGGAAGGGGAAGUUGUGUGUCUGUCUUGAGUGGUUAGCUGGUGCAUGACAAAUCAUGUAUAUCAAACAUGUUAAGAUGUUUUAACUUUAAUACCACGCACAAAAAUGAUGAUUUAUGUGUUGUCC
rnacentral:lncRNA from 1 species